rnacentral:rRNA from 1 species
AUACGGAGGGUGCAAGCGUUACUCGGAAUCACUGGGCGUAAAGCGCGCGCAGGCGGUGUGAUAAGUUGGAUGUGAAAUCCUAUGGCUCAACCAUAGAACUGCAUCCAAAACUGUCAAACUAGAGGCUGGGAGAGGAAGAUGGAAUUAGUUGUGUAGGGGUAAAAUCCGUAGAGAUAACUAGGAAUACCAAAAGCGAAGGCGAUCUUCUGGAACAGUACUGACGCUGAGGCGCGAAAGCGUGGGGAGCAAACAGGAUUAGAAACCCCAGUAGUCC